AGGUCCAAGACCUCCCUCUGCUCAGGUCUAACAGAAGAGACUGGCAGGACAUACAGCAAUCUCCCUCUCAGUUUAGGAGGGCUGUCCUAAGAACAGGGCUGGCUCUUAAAGGCAUGAGAGGACAAU
rfam:Camelus ferus unplaced genomic scaffold scaffold2756, whole genome shotgun sequence.